CUUUUCCAAACUUCCCAUCUCCCACAGCCCUGCUUGCUCCUCCACUGGAGCCCCAGCUACCAGUCUUCCUUGAUGCUAACCAGGCCUGGGUAGAACUUGCAGAGCCCAGUCCAAAAUAAACAAGUGACUGACAAGAACGGGGAAGUCGAUCUCCCCUUCCCAGGGCCUGCCUCCCAAACCCACACGGACAGAGAACCAAAGGGACUGCAACCUCUGCACCCAUGCACUUGGCACUUAGAUGAGGGGAUGAGCAAGAACCCUCACCAGGUUCCUGCAAGCACACCAGGAAGAGCCAGCAUGGGGAGGGGGUGGCCAUCACCUACCCUCACCCGGAGAUGCCACACCCAGCACACCUGGCUCCACUGUUUCCACUCCUGCACUCAGUCCCCCAUGGGGCAGAGAGCGAAGGCAAAACACAGAAACACAGACAUCACGCCUCUACCACAUAUCCUGUCGCAGACUCAGGCUGAGGACAGCCAGGAUCCCAGGGCAGGUGGCCAGGGGGAGCUGGGUCAGACUCAGGCACAGGAGGCAGCUAGGAACAGUCCUUGAGAGGCCCUGGGAGGCAGACAGUGCAGGAACAGAGACUCCAAGCCCCAGGCAUGCUCCACUGCCCAUUGGACCUUCCUUGCAAAACACAUGCUCUAAGAUAAAAUUAGGAUUUCAGGGGGCAAGCAUGAAAACUCUGGGCUCAGUGGCCCACACAGACCAACCUGAAGAUGAUGCCAACUCACCCACCUCAUAAUUUCCUGGCCUCCUCCAGUUCAGCAUCCUUCCCUCCACCUGGCCUCUGCAGCUUCUUCCGUAGGUUUUGCUCUGGACCCUGUCAACCUGAGGGGAGAGCCACAGCUCAAGGCAGAAUCCUGAGUUUAGAGGCUCCACCCAGCCAGGCGAGGUGGAGGUAUAGAGUUCCACUUACUGUGGUGGCUGAGGCCUGAGGCAGGAGUGAAACGGGAGAGUUCUCUGAACCUCUCGCGGGACUUGCAACAAGGGUGUGGCCUGUUUGCUUGGCCACCAUGUACUCAAACCCCUUACAAGAGGGGGAAACAUGCAGACAGACAGGUGCAGGAGCUGGGAUGAGUGCUUUUGGGCUCCAGCCGCAUAGUAGUGAAACAGGAAAAGUUCCCUUGUCCCCCUCACAGGGCGUGUGACAGGGGAGUGGCUUGCUUCUUCAGUGCCCCACUGCUCAAACCUCUAGGGGAGCAUACAGACGGGCAGGUUGUGGGGCUGCAACCUCAUGGCAGUGUGUAGGGGUGAGUGUUUAUAGCUCCUAAAGCCCCAGUGGGCAUGUGUUACAGGGCGCUUUUUUAAUUUAGCCAUCUGCAGGUGGCUUGUGUUAGCUCAAUUAGACUCUCUUCCUUAUCACAAGGACAGAGGGAUUUCUGUAUCCCGGAGUUUCUUACCUUGGUGUACUGGAAGAACUGGAUCGCAUGUGGGCUUGGAGAAUGAGUUCAAGGUUUUAUUGAGUACAAGUAGCUCUCAGCAGAUGGGGGAGCCAGAAGGGAGAUGGCUUUUUCCUGGAGUCAGGCAGCUCAGGGACCUGGGCUCUCCUCUGACUGCCCCAGCCAAACUCUGUGUCAUUCUGCUGGUCAAUGGCCUGCGGCAUGCUGGCAUCUGUUGGUGUGCUCUUCCGCCAGAGUGCUCCCCUCGAUGUCCUCUCAACGUCCAGCCACCUGUGUCUUUUUCCACCAAUGUGUUCCUCACAAUGUCCAGCCACUUGUGUAUCUGACUGCUAGGGUUUCAGGGGUUUUUAUAGGCACAGGAUGGGGGUGUGGCAGGCCAGAGUGGUCUUGGAAAAUGCAACAUUUGGGCACAAAGACAGAUGUGCCUGUCCUCACCUAGGUCUGUGGGGGUAGAGUCCUAGCCAGGCACCAUGCCCUCCUCUACCCAGCCCUUCCAUUCCCCACUUCCAUAUCAUUUAAAAGGACCAUGCUCUUUCCUUCCCAGCACUUCAGUAUCAGUAGCCUCUAGGGAAGUGUUAGAAUGAAUACCCUUUUAGCAGUUGCCAUCCCCAGACAGCUAAGCGUUAACCAGUUUAGUGGAGAGUCAGACAGCUUUUUACACCCUGUCCUCUUAGUACCCGGGUCCUUGUCUGGCAUCCAGGAAGAAUCGGGUCAUGUGAACUUGAAGGAUGGUGAAUGCAGGGAUUUUAUUGACUGAUGGAGGUGGCUCUCAGUGGGAUGGAUGGGGAGCUGGAAAGGGGAUGUAGUGAGAAGAUGAUCUUCCCCUGGAGUUUGGCCAUCCCCAGCUGAACUCCUCUUGACGUUCAGACGCUCCUUCUCUUCUCUUUCUUCGCCUUACUGCUCUGCCACCCAGCAGCUAUUCUGCUCAUGGAGCCUGGGGUUUAGCGUUUAUAUGGGUACAGGAUUGGGUGGGUACGGCAGGCCAAAAGUCAACAUUUGGGUGUGAAAACAGGAAUGCCUGUUCCCAUUUAGGGUCACAGGUUUCCAGGCUUGAGGGUGGGGCUUUUGCCAGGGAACUGCCCUCUUCUACCCAGUAUUUCCCUGCCUCCUGUCCAUCUCAGGAGAACCACUUGAGCCCAGGAGUUCUGGGCUAUAGUGCUCUAUGAUGAGGUGUCUGCACUAAGUUUGGCAUCAAUGUGGUGACCUCCCCAGAGUGGGGACUGCCAGGUUGCCUAAGGAGGGGUGAACUGACCCAGGUUGGAAACAGAGCAGAUUAAAAAUUCCUGGGCUAAUCAGUAGUGGAAUUUCACCUGUUAACAGCCACGGCCCUCCAGCCUGGACAAUACAGCAAGAUACCAUCUCUAAAAGAAAUAUAAAAUUUGUUUUUAAAAAGAAGCAGCACCUGUUAGAGAGAGGAACUUCUGGUUUAAUAAAUCAUGACUAAAGUGACUACAUCUUUUUUUCUCUCUCUUUUUUUUUUUUUUUUUUUUUUUUGAGACAGAGUCUUACUCUGUCACCCAGGCUGAAGUGCAGUGGUGCAAUCUUGACUCACUGCAACUUCCACCUCCCAGGUUCAAGCGAUUCUCAUGCCUCAGUCUUCCACUAGCUGG
rnacentral:lncRNA from 1 species